rnacentral:rRNA from 1 species
CCUACGGGAGGCAGCAGUGGGGAAUAUUGCACAAUGGGGGAAACCCUGAUGCAGCGACGCCGCGUGAGUGAAGAAGUAACUCGUUAUGUAAAGCUCUAUUAGCCGGGAAGAAAAAGACGGCACCUGUGUAAGAAGCACCGUCUAACUACGGGCCAGCAGCCGCGGUAAAACGCAGGGAGCAAGCGUUAUCCGGAUUUACUGGGCGUAAAGGGAGCGUAGACGGCAGGACAAGUCUGGAGUGAAAGGCGGGGGCUCAACCCCCGGACUGCUCUGGAAACUGUACGGCUGGAGUGCAGGAGAGGUAAGUGGAAUUCCUAGUGUAGCGGUGAAAUGCAUAGAUAUUAGGAAGAACACCAGUGGCGAAGGCAGCUUACUGGACUGUAACUGACGUUGAGGCUCGAAAGCGUGGGGAGCAAACAGGAUUAGAUACCCUAGUAGUC